UUAAUCGUAGGUCGCCGAGGUCGCGUGUGUAAAAUGGCAGGCCGUGGAGCAGCCGCGGCACAUGUGCAUCGCGUAUGUGCACCGAGCGGGACGAGAAACGGGAUCGUGGAAAUUGGAUUGAGUCGCUCCCGCGGCGAUUCAAACGGCCUCACGGCUUCGCCGUGAGAACGAGCGUAAAUCGACGUCCGCGCGUCCGUCUCCCCCGUGCACCGCGACUCGUAAAAUCACGCUGUCGCGCGCCUCCUGCGCUUGACGUGCCUUUUAUCUCGUUUGCAGACGCUCGGCCUCUGACAGACACAAUCUCCGGCGAUACGAGCGAUGUUGAUAUUGUCUUCCCACAGCCGUUGGUAAUGCAAAUAUCCUUCCUUGAUCUGAAGUCUGCAAGAUGGUUCUCAUCGUCCAGUUCCAAUUUUAGCUGAGAUUAAUACAGAAAUAGCGAAACGAAUACGGUCCAGCUUGGUGGUAAUGCGGGGAUGUGGAUCUGCUUCGACCCGAUAGGAAGCCGAAUAGGCUGGGGUUCCAUUUCGUUCGUCGUACUCCUGUAUUGGACCUCCAUCACCAUCGAUGCCAGCCUAACGAAUGCAGCCGCGUCCAAUGUUCCUCGUAAUACAGUCACGUCGGAGGUAUCGGUACCGGGGUCGGCACACCACGAGAACGACGAAUGCAGGAAUGUGACCACUGACAAUAGAGAGGGUACUGGACUGUCAGUGGUCAGCCAUGGAUCCGGUUAUCCUCAUUCGCCGAUAGUGCCUCCAACCUUUCUGUACGGAGCUCUUACCUGCCAACCCUAUCAAGGAAUUUACGUGAAUCACAUCUACUUUCAACUCGCAAAUGCCUUCUUCCUAUUGUCACACCUUGCACCAAGCGGCAUACAUGGUGUACUCUAUUUAAGGUGCACUCUACUCGUGGGCUGUGCCUUUCUUGCUUUGUGGGGCUGGACAAUAGCUUGCUGGCUGGAUGCUGCUCUCUGGAAUGCUCUCUUUGUUGCCAUCAACUUCGUCCAUGUAUGCACGCUUCUUUACAAGCUCAGGCCUAUCAAGUUUACAAAGGAAAUCGAAGAGGUAUACGUUGCAGUGUUCCAGCCAUUACGGGUGUCUCGUCAUCAAUUCAGAAAAGUAUUAAAUUGUAUGAAGACCAUUCGCCAGUUGAAGUAUCAAGAGGUUUAUGCACAAGAAAAAGUGACCAAAGUCGAUUCUUUAUCGUUGGUACUGUCGGGAAAACUAGUUGUCUCACAAAAUGGAAGAGCAUUACACAUCGUCUUCCCACAUCAGUUCCUGGAUUCUCCAGAAUGGUUUGGUGUCUCGACAGACGAAUACUUCCAGGUCUCAAUAACAGCUAUGGAAGAAUCAAGGAUAUUAUUAUGGCAUAGAGACAAACUAAAAUUAAGCAUAAUUAGCGAUCAAUUCCUGCAGGCAGUGUUUGAUCACAUUUUGGGCAGAGAUGUAGUUAAGAAAUUGAUGCAGGUGAGUGAGACGAUGGCUGCUAGCAGUCAUCAGCAGCAGAAUGGACAGAUAAUUGGUCUGGGUGGUAUUGGAGCCUUAGAAAAUGAUGCUGACACAAAACUUUUUGUUGUAAAAAAGACUGGUGAUAGUCAAGGCAUUACUGCUCUCAUCAGUCGUCAACUUCAAGAAGAGAGAAUGCCGCUGCUAUACACGAAUCAAGAAGUACUGAAUAAUACCCUUCACCAUACGAAUCGCCUAAGUGUACCACCCUGUACAUUUCUCCCACACCCUAUGUCGUGCAACGUUCAGACUUCGCUGUAAUAUCCUUGCCUACCAAUCGUGCAACACUCUAGCACAAAAGUCGUAUGUGAUGUACAUGUUAUGUUCCUGCAAUGGGAUGCAUAUAUAUUACACAAAUGUCGCAGAGUAAUUCCAUUAAUUGUUCUUCCCGGAUAUUGUAUCAAGAGCGGCAGGUGACCCAAAUGCUUGGAGAUUGGGAAGAAUCGAAGAGACUGAUCACGAAACACCCGUUUAAUGGAAUGAUUGUUAAAUCGAUGUCAUCCUCGACAGUCAAUAUAACGUAACACCGGUGUUUUUACAUAAUGCAAUUACAGCAAGCUGAUAUUCAUUGUGACUAAAUAAUGUGCAUAUUGAAACUGUGCGUAGAAAGAAAUUGAACAUUCUCUUGCCAAUUAAUAAUUUUCCCAGUGGCUAGUCAACUACCGUAUGCGAUAAUAAGAGAAAAUUCCAUCGUUUUGUAGCAUAUGAUGAAUUCCAUUCUAGCUUAUAAAGCAGUUAAUCAAUAAGUUUAUGCUUCCAGUGUAUUUGUUGGGUAUGCUUGAACAUAUUGAAUUUAAGAGUGGCUAUUUAUAAUUUUACUCCGGUAAAGUAUUUCGGUAUGUUCCAUGAUGGAUGAAUAAUGGAUUAAGACUUUACACACGUGUGCAAGUAAUGAUAUGAGGGUGACACACUCACAGCGGCGUAACUUCUGUUAAUGCGAGGUCUGUGAUGUUGCGAUGGGAUUUGGUAGAAGUCAGGGAGGCCUAAAGAAACUGAUUCUUUCCCAUACCCGGAAAUAGUGCCUUUUUACUUACACUUCCUUUCUUAAUGUUUCCAUGGAGAAAAUAUGUAUAAUAUACUACUAUAUGCGCCAUAUGACUUAUAUAUUUAGCCAAUGUAUCUAGUAGAGCUCUCCAAAUGUCGCUGUAUUACAUGUUUGAAGAUCCAUGUUGUGAUACUGUUAAGCAACCGAUGUUCACGAGUCAAAGAGGCACAAGAAGUUACGCCAUUAUUAAUGCAUUGGACAUAACAAAGUACGAUAUAAAGGACAUUAUUGCGAGAUUUAUAUCGCUACAUUACUGCUAGAGACGCCGAAUCGCGUAUAUAACUUUCGAUACUUAACGAGUAAAGAUUAUUACAAAUUGCUACAGGAUAAUGUAAUAAUUAUGAUCGCAACGCAUUGAUAAACCUAACAUCACGUUGAUUAUUUCAUUAAUGUUUUUUUUGUUCAUAACAGUGCGUAUAAUGAUUUAUUUUGUGUAAUUGUGAAUAAGCGAAAGUACAUACUUUAAGGGUGUGUGUUAUGUAAAACAAAUCGAAGGAAAUUGCCUGAAAAAUGUCAAUAACGUACGAUCGAGCGAAAAUAAAAAGGUAGUAAUCGGGAUAACGAGUCUUGAAGUAAGUCUCGCGUUUAACGGUUGAAAAAUAUUUCGGUAAUCAAACUAUCGAGUAAAUAAACACUUUGGAAACGACUUUGUUUAAUCUUUAGAGAUAUUACAGUGAAAAUUAGAGAACUGUUAAAAGGUAUCGAUAUUAAGCCCACUUAAAGUUGUAAUACAUACUUUAAGAAGACUUUUUAUAUGUAAAGUCAUAGUUCUGAGCAACACACAUACAUACGUAUUCUAUUUCGGAUGUUACCAACAAUAGUUUAUCACACGAUGUAACAAUUAUUCCCAUUACGUCACACGUAUACCGCAUAUCCGUAACAAUAUUUUGAACUGACUUAUAUCAUUUUAUGUAGCAAAGUACCGAGAUGUAGGAAUGCCUUUUGAUAUGUAUAAACGUGAAAUGCAGGACCAUCAGAAUUAGUAUUUUUUGCAUAUGAUCCAUAUGUGAAGAUAGGCGAGUUUGUUACUUUCUAUGUGAAUGUAAAUUAUAUGUUAAUAUUGAAUCUUUGUUGUUUAUCUCUUAUUGUUGUUAUGAUUAUUUUUGUACGUGAAAUUGUUUUUAGUAUGUAGUUAGGGAUAAGCAGGGAAUGGCUGAUGAGAGUUUGAGAAAUUAAAUCAUAUUGGAUACAAAUAAGAAUGCAUAUAAAAUGGCAGCGCGAAUAAAGAAAGUUAGUUUUAAAAA